rnacentral:lncRNA from 1 species
AACGUAAUUAACUCCUUCUUUUGUUCUAUAUGCAUCCAUUACCUUCUUGGAAGUUGUGUUCAUCCCUUCUGUUCUUCAGCCUAGGACUAUGAUCAUGAGAGAACUGAUGAAAGAAUGGAACAUUACGCUCGAAACUCUUACUAAGAUUGAGGAUGCAAUCAAAGCUGAUCCAGUGGUCCAACAAUUGAGGUACCUUAAUCAUGACUUUCACUACUGCAACGAUGUGAUCUCCUUUCCCUGUUUCUUGAAGUUUGUGUUGUACCCUCUUUUUCUCAGGAAUGUUUCAUUGGCGUCUGAUGAGAAGGAAAUGCAGAAACUUACUGCCACUAGUGAACUGAGUAUUACUGGCGUAGAAGGCCAACCUCUGAAAUUCCGUGUGAAACCGAACAGAGACGACUGGCCUAAAAUUGUAGGUUUUAAAAAUCAUCUCUUCCUAACUCCUAACGCAAACAAUUUAAUCUGGCUUUUGAUAAUUCUUGUCUUUUCCUUUUCUUAUUGCUCAGGGAGACAGGGUUUUAGCUCCUGCAAAGAUACAAGAUGGAAAGGUUAUACCUCCUGCAGAGAUACAAGGCAAAGAGGUUAUACCUCCUGCAGAGAUACAAGGCAAAGAGGCAAAACCGAGUUCUACUUCUGACGAUUCACCUGCCCCAAGCUGGGGCCAGGUUUCUCCUAGGUCUCUUGUUGGAAAAUGGGUCGGUAUACAAAUGCCUUACGAAGACGAGCACAUUAGAUUCCUCAUCAAAGAGUAUGACGAGAAAACAGUAAGUCUCUUCAUGUUUACAUGCGUGUUCUUCGUCAGCUCAGGUCAGGUCUCAGCCCUUCUAAGAAAUAUAGUUUCCAAUCUAC